UGGGACCGCUGGCUCUGACAGUGUUGCACUACUGUCUUCACAAAUUAAGCAGUGCAAUAAUAUUGUCAAAGCAUUUGGUUCCAGU